GCUCCAAUAGCGUAUAUUAAUGUUGUUGCAGUUAAAAAGCUCGUAGUUGAAUAUCUGGACUCAACUUUCGGUCCGGGGCCUUGUGUCCUGCGUACUGUUCUUGUUGGGUCCAUCUUAGUAGUGAAUGGUUCUGGCAUUAAGUUGUUGGGGUCGGGAGCUGCUUCGUUUACUGUGAAUAAAAUAGAGUGUUUAAAGCAGGC
rnacentral:rRNA from 1 species